rnacentral:piRNA from 1 species
UAACAUUAGGUAUGUAGAGUCACAAAUUGA